rnacentral:snoRNA from 1 species
AAGACUAUACUUUCAGGAAUCAUUCCUAUAGUUUCUUACUAUAGAAGUUUCUCUGAUUUUAUAGAGUACCGAACACCACAAGGAGGAGGCGCAGCAUCCUCUCCGGAGCGGGAAGCUGGCUUGUGGUGUUGCUUCACUGCAACUUCCAUUUGCCAUUGAUGAUUGUUCUUGCUUACCUUCGGGGGAGCAAGAGGGAGAGGAUGCAGUGUGAGGU